rnacentral:rRNA from 1 species
GAUGAACGCUGACAGAAUGCUUAACACAUGCAAGUCUACUUGAUCCUUCGGGUGAUGGUGGCGGACGGGUGAGUAACGCGUAAAGAACUUGCCUUGCAGUCUGGGACAACGUCUGGAAACGGACGCUAACACCGGAUAUUAUGGUUGAAUCGCAUGAUUUGAUUAUGAAAGCUAUAUGCGCUGCGAGAGAGCUUUGCGUCCCAUUAGUUAGUUGGUGAGGUAACGGUUCACCAAGACGAUGAUGGGUAGCCGGCCUGAGAGGGUGAACGGCCACAAGGGGACUGAGACACGGCCCUUACUCCUACGGGAGGCAGCAGUGGGGAAUAUUGGACAAUGGACCAAAAGUCUGAUCCAGCAAUUCUGUGUGCACGAUGAAGUUUUUCGGAAUGUAAAGUGCUUUCAGUUGGGAAAAAGAAAGUGACGGUACCAACAGAAGAAGCGACGGCUAAAUACGUGCCAGCCGCCGCAGUAA